UNGGACAAAUCAGCAACCUACAGAUUGGGA
rnacentral:piRNA from 1 species